GACGGAGGGUGCUAGCGUUGUUCGGAAUCACUGGGCGUAAAGAGCUCGUAGGCGGUGUGUCGCGUCGGCCGUGAAAACCUGCAGCUUAACUGUGGGCUUGCGGUCGAUACGGGCAUCACUGGAGUUCGGCAGGGGAGACUGGAAUUCCUGGUGUAGCGGUGAAAUGCGCAGAUAUCAGGAGGAACACCGGUGGCGAAGGCGGUUCUCUGGGCCGAUACUGACGCUGAGGAGCGAAAGCGUGGGGAGCGAACAGG
rnacentral:rRNA from 1 species